GGCGCCGUGGCUUAGUUGGUUAAAGCGCCCGUUCAGUAAUCAGGAGAUCACGAGUUCAAAUCUCUUCGGUGCCC